CUUUCUACACAGGUUGGGAUCAGUUGCAAUGCUGUGUUUACAUUUGGUAUUGCACUUGUCCCGGCCUGUUGAGUUUGG
rnacentral:pre_miRNA from 15 species